AUUGUAUUGUAGUUUCUUCUAUUUUGAGUAGUCUUUUAAAAACAGCCGCCCAAUUCCGGGUCACGUGCAGAGCUCUUAAUUUAGUUUGGGCCACCAGGUGGGCGUGUGUCAUGGCUGCGUCUUCCUGUCUGUGGACAGGUAACCUGCUGUUGAGACUGUAGGCCUCCCUGAAGGACGUACAAAGAAAGAACACAGAGAUCAUGUUUAAAGUCACUGAAGUGGCACCUGUCUUCCCUUCGUUCAACAUUACUGACUUUAGUUAAACCAAAUGAGGGAACCAACGCCUCCAGACGGUGAUACUGCCUUGAAAAGAUGGAGAAUACUUGCAAAGCACGAAAAUCCUUAUCGGACUAAAGUGGACUCUAAUACGAAUUACAUGCAAAUAUUUUGGAGAAGGGAGUUUACUGAACUGAAGAAGCGGACUUGUAUCCCUGAAUCAUCUUCAGCAAGAGGACUUCUGUUGGUCCUGUUAGCGCACCCAGAUCUGCUGGUUUUCCCUCCUUGCAUGGAUCAUGUAUCACCUGUGCAGCUGUAUCAAUUCAAACCUGUUCCAGCGAGUGACGCGACCUCUCCAUACCACAGCCAUGGAGCUCCGAUCAGUCAAAAGGUUGACAAAGAAGCAGCUGCCAAUAUGGACCUCGGAGGGGAAACAAAGGUCUUACAUUAUUGUUAAUGGAAGGUGGGAGCUAUACCUGAAUGGAGAAGCUGUGCAUUUAGCAAUAUGAAAAAGUGGGCUGGAGUUAAGAGAGCUCUUUUUGAUGAAUUUAUCUGACAAAUAAGACUAAAUUAAA
ensembl:lncRNA